rnacentral:rRNA from 1 species
AUUGAACGCUGGCGGAAUGCUUUACACAUGCAAGUCGAACGGCAGCACGGGUGCUUGCACCUGGUGGCGAGUGGCGAACGGGUGAGUAAUGCACCGGAACGUACCCAGUAAUGGGGGAUAACUAUCCGAAAGGAUAGCUAAUACCGCAUACGCCCUGAGGGGGAAAGCGGGGGAUCGUAAGACCUCGCGUUAUUGGAGCGGCCGAUGCCGGAUUAGCUAGUUGGUGGGGUAAAGGCCCACCAAGGCGACGAUCCGUAGCUGGUCUGAGAGGACGACCAGCCACACUGGAACUGAGACACGGUCCAGACUCCUACGGGAGGCAGCAGUGGGGAAUUUUGGACAAUGGGCGAAAGCCUGAUCCAGCCAUUCCGCGUGAGUGAAGAAGGCCUUCGGGUUGUAAAGCUCUUUCGCAAGGAAAGAAAACUUUCUUACUAAUACUAGGUGAGGUUGACGGUACCUUGAUAAGAAGCACCGGCUAACUACGUGCCAGCAGCCGCAGUAACAC